rnacentral:lncRNA from 1 species
GGAGGGGGAAAUUCCACCACCCUGCACCCACCCCUUAGGGAGCGCUCCGCGCGCUCUGUAAAUGUUGGCACGCUUUGCGUGCAUUUACCGCCCCCUCCAAAAUGAAAUCCUGGCUACGCGAUUGGCUGUAGUAAACGGGUUGUUUGCUCCUCCGUUACGAGCCCAAUGGCCGUCAUGGGUCUAUUAACAAAGGGGAUGCCACAGAGCCAGACGAAGUCUCAGCGGAGCAUAUCCCCGACAGCAAUAGACCCAUUUAUCAGUCUAGUGUGGUGCACGCUAGCGCUGUGCAUGUAUGUGGGGGUGUGAAGCCUUGCAUGCAGCUCUCACUGGACAAUUUGGCAGGGCUAGGGAACAGAGAUGUUUCUUGCGAGCGCGGCGGGCAGCUUCUGAAUGGAACUUUUAUCAUUUGGAGUAUGUCGACAUUCGACAAUGAUAAUCAGGUCUGAAAAUGGGGGUCAUCAAAGCGGCACGUUCCCGUACCAACAGUAUGUGAGUACCCCCCACCCCCUGGAUGCUAUAGCUUCACAUUGCCAUUGUAUUGUCCGGUGUUCGAAAAAUCAGUGUAUUUCGGACAGGGAUAUGCUCCGCUCAGGCAUUGCCUGCCUCCACGGCAUCUGCUCCGGCAGUUGACCAAAGUCUCCCAUAGGACUUGUACUCGUGUCGGUGCUCCACACGCUCACGAUGCUUAGAUUUAGAGUCAGCCGUGCAGACUAGAUUCAUACGUUCAUUACAUGCCGCCAUGCUCACGAAAAUCAAGGCACAACACUUUCAUGGGAUAAUGCGUAAUGGGACUAUUAAACUAAAAUAAAUUCAAAUAUAAUUAACAUUUGCUAUGUCACUUACCGAAGGAUGUGAAUCCACUUUUCCCAAGUAUUUACCAGAAGGGGAAAUUUAAUGUCCAUUUUGCUCCUUGUUGACAAACAUGGAGCUUACUUGAGGAUUCCGAAUUUUUCGUCCACAAAGAGGGCCUGCAAUUUAUAUUCCUAUCAAAGACACUACAAGGGAAAGACUAGACACCCAAGUGCCCAAUCUUUUCAUUGUAUAGUCUUUCGUGGACCGUUUGUUGACAAACAAAGGCUCACAAUGCAAGCUUGGUUUAAGGCGAUUAGAAGUUUUCUAUUUCCUUUUUUCAACUUGUCAUCGCUUUAAAUGAUUUCCAAAAGGUGUUAUCGUCACCAAAAAUAAUCUUAAAGUACAUUUUUGAAGGUAUACAGUGGGUCCAAUGGGAAGCUCAUCUCAUGUCCUUACUUUAAAAAAAAAAUCAUUGGUUUCGCUUCAGUGGUUUUGAAUACACAGUCUACUAUGUAACGAUCAUGCUUUUCAGCCCAUUCCAAGUUUCCAUACAUACAGCACUGCUACUACUGAUGUUAUGUUCUGUACUGCCAAGCAUUCAACCCUGAUUGAUCAGGGAAUUACCUGAGCUGAAAAAUCUCCAUGAUCUAACCAAGCUCAUCAAAUCAUUACUUUGCAUGAUCAGAAGGCAACAACAAUGCCUGAAAAUUCAUUUUUAAUAAGCUUGGGAGUGGGAGAUGCACAAAGAUAAGAACAACAGGUCAUGUCUGUUUCAUGCCUAUAAUUCCAACAAUUUUGCAUUGUUUUCAUUCCUUUGUUUCAGUUAUGUUUAUCAUGAGCUCAAGUUAAUUCACCUUAUCUUUUUAAUGAAGGAAAUCAAUUUCCACAGCAAGUAAUGUUCGCUUUCGCGAAGUGUGAUACACUUGUGGUUUGCCCUUCAUUGUUCAGCCUACAUGUACAUGCAAGACCAAUGAAAUUUUCAUAGAAGUUAGAUUAUGAAACAAAGCUUUCUACUCCUGUACAUUUGAUGGAAAAAAAUACCACAUCUUAGAAUUAUGUCAGAGGGACCUUUUUGGGGGGGACGUGCUGUAGAUGGAUUGUUGAUUUUUGAAGAUCACCUAAAGACAUACCUAUUAAUAUUGUAACUGAUUUUAAAUGUAUUUUGUUGUAUUCCAUUUAUGAUUAAAAGAAAGAUGAUUCAUCUCUUCCCGUUCACUGGCUGUUCAUGUGGGAUCCGCUCCUAUGAGUUAUGUACUGACUGGGUUUACCCCUUAAAUUGUCAGUGAACGGGGCAGCUAGAGGGCACUGGGUUCCGCAUGAUGAUGGGCUGAUGGAUGGGUUGGGGUGAAUGAAGCAGAUGUGAAAUUAUUAUUCUUACAUUG